GGGGCUGACUUGGUUUCGACAUUUAAAUAUAGUUUAUCCGAUUUUAUAGAUUAAAUUUGUUAAUUAUUUUAAUAAGAAAAUAUUAAUUAUUUAAUUCAAGAAAAAUUUUUCUAAAAUCUUUUCGUUCACUAUUACUAGAUUUUUCUAGUGAGAUAGUCUAGAAUAUUUUAAAAUGAUUUAAUAAUUUUAAUAAAAUCUGUACCUUAAGACUUUACUAUUAAUUAAAUGGACGUGGGUUCGAGUCCCAUCAGCUCCAUACUAUAAAACUGGA
rnacentral:tmRNA from 1 species